AGGUGAAGUUCCUCGUGCGCGCUGUGACGUGUGCGUGACGUUUCCGAAUCAGAACCAGAACCUUGCCGAUGUUCAACCUCACUGAGUGUCUGAGCGUAUGCUGAGUUCGACGUUUUUCACAGACAGAUAUUGAUGGCAUUUUUGAUAUCAGAAAACACUAGUCCAGUUUUUCCUCCCAGUGCUGAAGGAAAGCCUGGUGUUCAACCCCAUAGUCCAGCUUGCCUGACGAAGUAUCAGCCAUGCAGGAAGCCAUUGAGCGUACAGAGGUUUAUGAAUAUGUGUUGAGCCUGAACUCAGGCUGCACACAGACAAACUUCCAGGAAUACAAGGUCUUGUAUGCCCUCAAGCUCUCUGAGUCUGGGCUUUCAUCUCAAGCCCUCGAAUAUUGUGAGAACAUUGCAAAAGCAGUCAUUGCCUUCCCAGACAGAAUCCCAAACACCUUGUUCAACCAGCUUAUACAGCUGUCAGGGAACCUGAAUAAAGGGAAGGAAAAAGAACCAGAAUGGCUGUUAAAUCUUCGCCUGCUGCACAAAGAAGAAGCCAAAGAUUCAGA